AAGAAGGAAGGAAGGAAGGAAGGGAGGAAGGAAGGGGAAGGGAGGGAAAGGAAAUUAUGAGGUACACGGAGCACCAACCAGAUGCCAAGUUCAUGUAACCAAUAGAUCUUAGAUUCACACUGGGCCCAAUCACAGAGGAAGCAAUCAGUGGCUAAAGGUGACUAAGCACUUUAGGAAAUUAUCACCCUGGUUUCUCAAAUGGUAGGUCUGAUUAUAUUUUCACAUACUGGGUCACGCCUCAUGGUGGCACAGCCUCGUCCAUGAUCACCCCAGAGCUGGUGUGGGCCAGACACCAGAGCCUCCCUGGCUGGAGAAGGACUGUGAGAGACUAAUUGUCUAUGGAAAUGAAUGGUUACAGUCACUGGGCUCUCAAAACUGGAAUGCAAUUUAUAAAGCAGAGCAUUAUUAUUCCAAAACCCACAUUCUGCAGAGGAAGUGAAACUUCUCCAACUGGUGUGCCAGCAGCCCACCUUCCAGAGCCUACCUUCACGCCUCACAAGGAAACAGCUUGGAAAGGACUGGGGCAUACCAACAUGUUUACGGAAUCAGCCUUUGGCAUUGGAAUAGAUCCAGUUUCAAAUCUCUAGGCCACUCCAUCAUUUAACGGAUAGAGGUUGGCCAGGCGCAGUGGCUCAUGCCUGUAAUCCCAGCACUUUGGGAAGCUGAGGCAGGCGGAUCAUCUGAGGUCAGGAGUUUGAGACCAGCCUGGCCAACAUGGCAAAACCCCAUCUCUACUGAAACUACAUAAAAUUAGCCAGGCAUGGUGUAGCCAUGCGCCUGUAGCCACAGCUACUCAGGAGGCUGAGGCAGGAGGAACACUUGAACCUGGGAGAUGGAGGCUGCAGUGAGUUGAGAUUGCAUCAUUGAACUCCAGCCUGGGCAACAGAGCAAGACUCCAUCUCAAAAAAAAUUUUAAAAUAAAGGAUAGAGGUAGAAGAGGACUAAUCAAAGGGCAAAGAGGAGAAUCCAGAAGGCCUGGUGUUAAGAAAGCUAGGAAAAGUGAUAUUGCCUGUUGCAAAAUGGACAGAGAAGGCAGGUAAGUGGACGGGGUCAUGAGGGAAUCAACUGCAGGAGCUCAGCUGUGAAGGAGAAGAGAGCAUUUUAUUUUAAAGGAAGAUUACUGACCAUGUUCCCAUACUGCAAGGGAGGGUCCAGAAAUGCAGAGAAGAAGAAAAAAGGAAUAAUGGAGACAGCAAAGGCUCAUGAGAGACUGGAGCUAGAGCACCAGUGAGGGCUCUGGGCUGGUGAGAAUUCAGCUUUUCUUUGAAAAUACAGGAGAGGGCUUGGAAGGUGAGGUGGCUGCAGAAGAGCCUGCAGCUCUGAGGAUGAGAAUUCAGGGAGUUUGUGAAAUAGAAGCUGCUAUAGAUUGAAUGUUUGUGAACACCAGCCCAACUACCAAAAUUCUUAUGCUGAAGCCUUAAUUAAUCCACAGUGUGAGACAUUGCAAGGUGGAGCCUUUGGGAGGUCAUCAGGGUGGAGCCCUCAUAAGGAGAUUGGUGCCCUUAUAAGAAGAAGAAACCAGAGCCCUCUCUUGCUCUGCCAGGUGAGGACACAGUGAGAAGAAGGCCAUCUGCAAGCAGGAAUGGGUCCUCACUAGGAAUCAAAUCUGCUGGCACCUUGAUCUUGAACUUCCCAGCUUCCAGAACUGUGAGAAAUAAAUGUCUGUUUUUAAGCUACCC
rnacentral:lncRNA from 1 species